CGGAUACUUCCUCCGUUCGAAAAUACUUGUCAUGAAAAAAAGAAAGUAUCUAGACACAUCUUAGUUUUAGAUGCAUCUAUUUUUAUUCAUUUUUCCGACAAGUAUUUGGAGACGAAGGGAGUAUAUU
rnacentral:pre_miRNA from 2 species